rnacentral:rRNA from 1 species
AGAGUUUGAUCCUGGCUCAGGAUGAACGCUAGCUAUAGGCUUAACACAUGCAAGUCGAGGGGAAACGGCAUUAUGUGCUUGCACAUUUUGGACGUCGACCGGCGCACGGGUGAGUAUCGCGUAUCCAACCUUCCCUCCACUCGGGGAUACCCCGUUGAAAGACGGCCUAAUACCCGAUGUUGUUCAUUGAUGGCAUCUGAUUUGAACCAAAGAUUUAUCGGUAAAGGAUGGGGAUGCGUCUGAUUAGCUUGUUGGUGAGGUAACGGCUCACCAAGGCGACGAUCAGUAGGGGUUCUGAGAGGAAGGUCCCCCACAUUGGAACUGAGACACGGUCCAAACUCCUACGGGAGGCAGCAGUGAGGAAUAUUGGUCAAUGGACGGAAGUCUGAACCAGCCAAGUAGCGUGCAGGAUGACGGCCCUAUGGGUUGUAAACUGCUUUUGUAUGGGGAUAAAGUUAGGGACGUGUCCUUAUUUGCAGGUACCAUACGAAUAAGGACCGGCUAAUUCCGUGCCAGCAGCCGCGGUAAUACGGAAGGUCCAGGCGUUAUCCGGAUUUAUUGGGUUUAAAGGGAGCGUAGGCUGGAGAUUAAGUGUGUUGUGAAAUGUAGACGCUCAACGUCUGAAUUGCAGCGCAUACUGGUUUCCUUGAGUACGCACAACGUUGGCGGAAUUCGUCGUGUAGCGGUGAAAUGCUUAGAUAUGACGAAGAACUCCGAUUGCGAAGGCAGCUGACGGGAGCGCAACUGACGCUUAAGCUCGAAGGUGCGGGUAUCGAACAGGAUUAGAUACCCUGGUAGUCCGCACAGUAAACGAUGGAUGCCCGCUGUUAGCGCCUGGCGUUAGCGGCUAAGCGAAAGCAUUAAGCAUCCCACCUGGGGAGUACGCCGGCAACGGUGAAACUCAAAGGAAUUGACGGGGGCCCG